GGGCAUUUGGUCUAGUGGUAUGNNNCUCGCUUUGGGUGUGAGAGGUCCCGAGUUCAAUUCUCGGAAUGCCCC
rnacentral:tRNA from 1 species